UACGAAGGGUGCGAGCGUUGUUCGGAAUUAUUGGGCGUAAAGGGUUCGUAGGCGGGAAAACAAGUCAGGUGUGAAAUCUCCAAGCUUAACUUGGAACGUGCAUUUGAAACUGUUUUUCUUGAAUAUUGGAGAGGGAAGUAGAAUUCCAGGUGUAGGAGUGACAUCCGUAGAGAUCUGGAGGAAUACCGGAGGCGAAAGCGACUUCCUGGCCAAAUAUUGACGCUGAGGAACGAAAGCGUGGGGAGCAAACAGG
rnacentral:rRNA from 1 species